rnacentral:rRNA from 1 species
CCCUUAGAUGUUCUGGGCCGCACGCGCGCUACACUGACGAUGGCAACGAGUUUUUCCUUCGCCGAAAGGUGUGGGUAAUCUUUUGAAACAUCGUCGUGCUGGGGAUAGAUCAUUGCAAUUUUUGAUCUUGAACGAGGAAUUCCUAGUAAGCGCGAGUCAUCAGCUCGCGUUGAUUACGUCCCUGCCCUUUGUACACACCGCCCGUCGCUACUACCGAUUGAAUGGUCCGGUGAGGCUUUGGGAUCUGGGCGGAAAGAGCGUUUCGCUGUUUCUGCCCGGAAAACUCAGUCGAACCUUAUCAUUUAGAGGAAGGAGAAGUCGUAACA